rnacentral:rRNA from 1 species
UACGUAGGGCGCAAGCGUUGUCCGGAAUUAUUGGGCGUAAAGAGCUCGUAGGCGGUUUGUCGCGUCUGCUGUGAAAACCUAAGGCUCAACCUUGGGCUUGCAGUGGGUACGGGCAGACUAGAGUGCGGUAGGGGUGAUCUGGAAGUUACCUGGUGUAGCGGUGGAAUGCGCAGAUAUCAGGAGGAACACCGAUGGCGAAGGCAGGUCACUGGGCCGCAACUGACGCUGAGGAGCGAAAGCAUGGGGAGCGAACAGG